CAGUAGGGAGGAAGGUAGUGUAGUUAACACCUGCAUUAUUUGACGUUACCUACAGAAGAAGCACCGGCUAACUCCGUGCCAGCAGCCGCGGUAAUACGGAGGGUGCGAGCGUUAAUCGGAAUUACUGGGCGUAAAGCGCAUGCAGGCGGCCUGUUAAGUCAGAUGUGAAAGACCCGGGGCGUUAACCUCGGAAUUGCAUUUGAAACUGGCAGGCUAGAGUCUUGUAGAGGGGGGUAGGAAUUUCUAGGUGUAGCGGUGAAAUAGCGUAGAGAUCUGAAGGAAUACCAGUGGCGAAGGCGGCCCCCUGGACAAAGACUGACGCUCAGAUGCGAAAGCGUGGGGAGCAAACAGGAUUAGAUACCCUGGUAG
rnacentral:rRNA from 1 species